UAAUCCUAGUGGCGAACGGGUGAGUAACGCGUGAGCAACCUGCCUUGUACAACGGGAUACCCGAGGGAAACUUCGGUUAAUACGGUAUAAGACCACACUACCGCAUGGUAGAGGGGUAAAAGGAGAAAUCCGGUAUAAGAUGGGCUCGCGUCGCAUUAGCUAGUUGGUAAGGUAACGGCUUACCAAGGCGACGAUGCGUAGCCGACCUGAGAGGGUGAUCGGCCACAUUGGGACUGAGACACGGCCCAGACUCCUACGGAAGGCAGCAG
rnacentral:rRNA from 1 species